rnacentral:rRNA from 1 species
UACGAAGGGGGCUAGCGUUGCUCGGAAUUACUGGGCGUAAAGGGAGCGUAGGCGGACUGUUAAGUUAGAGGUGAAAGCCCAGGGCUCAACCUUGGAAUUGCCUUUGAUACUGGCAGUCUUGAGUACGGAAGAGGUAUGUGGAACUCCGAGUGUAGAGGUGAAAUUCGUAGAUAUUCGGAAGAACACCAGUGGCGAAGGCGACUUACUGGACACAUAUUGACGCUGAGGUGCGAAAGCGUGGGGAGCAAACAGG